GACAGAGGAUGCAAGCGUUAUCCGGAAUGAUUGGGCGUAAAGCGUCUGUAGGUGGCUUUUUAAGUCCGCCGUCAAAUCCCAGGGCUCAACCCUGGACAGGCGGUGGAAACUGCCAAGCUGGAGUACGGUAGGGGCAGAGGGAAUUUCCGGUGGAGCGGUGAAAUGCGUAGAGAUUGGAAAGAACACCGAUGGCGAAGGCACUUUACUGGGCUAUUACUAACACUGAGAGAACGAAAGCUAGGGUAGCAAAUGGG
rnacentral:rRNA from 1 species